AUACACUACCAUUCAAACGUUUAAGGGUCAGAUUUAUCAUGUAUUUAAAAUAAAUAUUUUAUACUCACCACUGCUGCAUUUAUUUGAUUAAAAUACAGUAAAAUAGUAACAUUGUGAAAUUACUAGGGGUGACCCGACUAAGGUUUUUCAUAGUCGAAGCUGAAUUUUAAAAUCUUGGUGAUAUCCGACUGAUAGUCUAAUCAUAUGUUUGGGGGCAGAAUACACUGAGUCAAGUCAGACAUUCGACAGUCAUAAUUACUGAUCUUAAAGGGGGGGGUGAAAUGCUAUUUCAUGCAUACUGAGUUUUUUACACUGUUAAAGAGUUGGAUUCCCAUGCUAAACAUGGACAAAGUUUCAAAAAUUAAGUUGUACGUUUGAAGGAGUAUUUCUGUUCCAAAAAUACUCCUUCCGGUUUGUCACAAGUUUCGGAAAGUUUUUUUUGAGUAUGGCUCUGUGUGACGUUAGAUGGAGCGGAAUUUCCUUAUAUGGGUCCUGAGGCACUUCUGCCGGAAGAGCGCACGCUCCCGUAUAGCAGAGCACUGAGAGCACAACAGACUUCACUGAUCAGAGCGAGAGCGUCGUGAAAUGUCACAAAAGGAGUGUGUUUUUGGUUGCCAGGGCAAGACAACCCUGCACAGAUUACCAAAGAAAAAACAGCAUUAAGGGACCAGUGGAUGGAGUUUAUUUUUACAGAGCAUCAACGGAGUUGUGCAAGUGUUUGUGUUUGUUCCCUGCAUUUCUAAAAUGCUUGUUUUACAAACAAGGCCCAGUUUGACAACGGAUUUGCGUAUCGUUUAUUUCUUAAGGAUGAUGCAAUCCCAACGAAAAAGGGUCAGGAUUGUGUGUUGGAACCGCAUGCGAAUUAAGCUCCAACCCCAGUUAAACAGAUCUGAGCAGCUGAUCAAGGAUCAGCAGAAACUCUGCAGAACGGUGCUCCUCCAGCCCAGGACUGGACACCAGUGUUAUGCUGGAGAAAAAACAGUGAGGCUAAAGCAUUCAAAGUGGAAACAUCUGCCGUGGCUCAUUAAUCCAGAAUUGGGAUGGAGGAAGGAGCAGAAGAAGCAGAAGAUCAGAGAUCAGGCAGAGAUCUACUGGUGCCCCUGUGGGAAACCAUUUACCUAAUGUGUUAGUUAAACCAAAGAUUUUCAUCACUCACCUUUACGUUGUUCCAAGCCAGACUUUUGUUCAUCUUUGAAACAUAAAUGCAGAACUUUUUAAUGAAAUCUGAGAAUUUUUUUAAAUCUAAAAUAACGCAUUCACACAAGCACCAUGAUGCAUCAGUGUUGCAUUGGCGUGAGAGCUGGCGCUUUUGGUGCUUUUGAGAAAAUCCAUUGGGGAUUCCUAAUUUCUGAAUAUAUUUUUUUUUGCUGUUGUUGUUGUUUUUUGCGUACACAAGGCAUCUGUUAAAAAUAUCUUCAUUUGUGUUCUGCACAAAAGGGUGUUAUGGGUUUGGGGUAACAUGAGGGUAAGAAAUUAAUGACAGAAUUUAAAUUUUUGGUUGUUCUAAUGUGGUUAUAAUUGUUCAUAGUUUAUUGUCUUGAAAAAUUAUAUUUAUACAGAAAGAUGGAUUAAUUUGAUAAGUUUAGAGUAAAGACUUUUAAAUUGAUUUUAAAAAAUCAAAAUAAAUUCUACUCUUUUGCAAGGUCUAUUAAAAAUAUUACUGAUAAAUGUAAUGGUUUCCAAAAAAUAUUGGGCAGCACAACUGUGUUAAACAUUGAUAAUAAUCAAUUAAUAAUUAAUAAUCAUUAAUAAUUUCUUGAGCAGCAAAUCAUAUAUUAUAAUGAUUUCUGAAGAUCAUGUAACACUGAAGACUGGAGUAAUUGUGUUAAAAAUUCAGUUUACAGGCAUAAAUUACAUUUUACACUGCAUCCACAUAGAAAACAAUUAUUUCUGUAGUUAUAUUUCACAAUAUUACUGUUUUUACGGUCUGUUUAAUCAAAGGAGGCUUAAGAUGUGAUCAAGAAUUUACAUGAAAGAUGUAAUGUGUCCAUAAAUGUGUCAAUAUAC